UACGUAGGUGGCGAGCGUUGUCCGGAUUUACUGGGCGUAAAGAGCGCGCAGGCGGUCGUACAAGUCGCGUGUGAAAGCCCCCGGCUCAACUGGGGAGGGUCACGCGAUACUGUUCGACUCGAAGGCAGGAGAGGGAAGCGGAAUUCCCGGUGUAGUGGUGAAAUGCGUAGAUAUCGGGAGGAACACCAGUGGCGAAGGCGGCUUCCUGGCCUGUUCUUGACGCUGAGGCGCGAAAGCUAGGGUAGCAAACGGGAUUA
rnacentral:rRNA from 1 species